AGAGUUUGAUCCUGGCUCAGGAUGAACGCUGGCGGCGUGCUUAACACAUGCAAGUCGAACGAACCUUCGGGUUAGUGGCGGACGGGUGAGUAACGCGUGGGAAUCUGCCCUCAGGAGGGGGAUAACGGUUGGAAACGACCGCUAAUACCCCAUAUGCCGAGAGGUGAAAUGAAUUUCGCCUGAGGAUGAGCCCGCGUCUGAUUAGCUUGUUGGUGAGGUAAUGGCUCACCAAGGCUUCGAUCAGUAGCUGGUCUGAGAGGAUGAUCAGCCACACUGGGACUGAGACACGGCCCAGACUCCUACGGGAGGCAGCAGUGGGGAAUUUUCCGCAAUGGGCGCAAGCCUGACGGAGCAACGCCGCGUGAGGGACGAAGGCCUCUGGGCUGUAAACCUCUUUUCUCAAGGAAGAAGAUAUGACGGUACUUGAGGAAUAAGCCACGGCUAAUUCCGUGCCAGCAGCCGCGGUAAUACGGGAGUGGCAAGCGUUAUCCGGAAUUAUUGGGCGUAAAGCGUCCGCAGGCGGCCUUUCAAGUCUGCUGUUAAAACGUGGAGCUCAACUCCAUCAUGGCAGUGGAAACUGAUUGGCUUGAGUAUGGUAGGGGCAGAGGGAAUUCCCGGUGUAGCGGUGAAAUGCGUAGAUAUCGGGAAGAACACCAGUGGCGAAGGCGCUCUGCUGGGCCAUUACUGACGCUCAUGGACGAAAGCCAGGGGAGCGAAAGGGAUUAGAUACCCCUGUAGUCCUGGCCGUAAACGAUGAACACUAGGUGUCGGGGGAAUCGACCCCUUCGGUGUCGUAGCUAACGCGUUAAGUGUUCCGCCUGGGGAGUACGCACGCAAGUGUGAAACUCAAAGGAAUUGACGGGGGCCCGCACAAGCGGUGGAGUAUGUGGUUUAAUUCGAUGCAACGCGAAGAACCUUACCAGGGCUUGACAUCCUGCGAACCUUUAAGAAAUUAGAGGGUGCCUUCGGGAACGCAGUGACAGGUGGUGCAUGGCUGUCGUCAGCUCGUGUCGUGAGAUGUUGGGUUAAGUCCCGCAACGAGCGCAACCCACGUUUUUAGUUGCCAGCAUUUAGUUGGGCACUCUAGAAAGACCGCCGGUGAUAAACCGGAGGAAGGUGUGGAUGACGUCAAGUCAUCAUGCCCCUUACGUCCUGGGCUACACACGUACUACAAUGCUACGGACAAAGGGCAGCAAACUCGCGAGAGCUAGCAAAUCCCAUAAACCGUGGCUCAGUUCAGAUCGUAGGCUGCAACUCGCCUACGUGAAGUAGGAAUCGCUAGUAAUCGCAGGUCAGCAUACUGCGGUGAAUACGUUCCCGGGCCUUGUACACACCGCCCGUCACACCAUGGAAGUUGGCCACGCCCGAAGUCGUUACUUUAACCCUUGUGGAGAAGGACGCCGAAGGUGGGGCUGAUGACUGGGGUGAAGUCGUAACAAGGUAGCCGUACCGGAAGGUGCGGCUG
rnacentral:rRNA from 1 species